CCUAAUUCGGGGGUUCAGAAUGAGCCCAACCUAGGCUGCAACUUCGUCCGUGAGCCUCUCUCGAUGACUGUGCUCUGCAAAUCGAUCAUCUGUUUGGUUGCUAGGAAAAUCGAGGGAAUGGUGCUGUGGUUUUGGGGAAGAUUUUCUCCACCUUAACGCUGUUUAGCCAAAGAAACAAUCAACAAUCACUGGAACAAGCUGAAGUUCCAAUGGUCUGAUGACACCACCCUCCUCCUUUGUUCCGGGCUUGGGACCGGCUGCGUAGAAGAAUUGAUGCUUGAUACAUGACACAGGCAGAGUUAUCAUGUCAUUGUAAGUUGUAGACUAAGAGACUGUAAAAGAGGUUAAACUACACACACACACACACAUAUGGGCAUGGACUCUGUAGUGCAUCCUUCUGUCAAAAUCACAUGAAUGAGAUAAUAAAGGGUAGCAAGCAGGAGCAGCCACCUGCCAACCAACAGAUCCAAGCGUAGUUUUGAGGGACUAGUAGACCUCCUGAUAUUAUGCAGACGCCAAAUGCAAGAAAAAGAGUACCGAGUUUUUCCAAGAGAAGUGCAAAUCUUGGGAAUGCAUUCCUAAGGAAAACUCCAGCAUACGAAACUGCAAAGCUGAUCAACAUAAGAGCAACAAAUAGACCUGUGGGAAGUGGAGGAGAUCGAGUGGGAGCACUGAUGGACAAAGAUAAAAUUGCCUGGAAAGCGAGAACAAGGUUUAUCUUCCCAAGAUUCUGAGGGCUGUUGGCUGGUUGAGGCCUAGGUAUUUUGAUCUUAAUUGACUGGAAUUCUGAUGGCGUGGAUAAUCCCCCUCCCCAGGUAAGACUACUCAUAUCCAGGGAGGUUUCUUGUUGUGUGGUUGAAUCCAUUGGGUGGGGAAACAAUAAGGAUUUGGUCAAUGUUCUUCAAGUGGUUUCCCGUAGUUCCAUUCAAUCUGGUUCCCUUCUUAUAU